UGAUAGAAAAAGUUCUUUUUAUUCACUUACACAAGUUUCAGAAUAAACAGAAUAUUUUAGAAGGAUCUGAAUCUGGUUUUAGGACCAACCACAGAACCGAGACGCCCUUUUAAACAUUGUUAACCACCUCAGGUGGAACUUGGACACACAGAAACUUCCAGUCCUGGUUCUACUGGAUCUUAGUGCCGCCUUUGAUCCAGUAGAUCAGCAGGUUUUAUUAGACAGACUCAGAAGUCUGGUGGGCCUCUCAGGUCCUGGUCUUAAAUGCUUUUACUCCGAUCUCACAGAUCCACAUCAUAAGGUUUGAUCACAGUUCUACUGAUAAUCCAG